rnacentral:tRNA from 1 species
GUGGGCAUAGCUCAAUUGGUUAGAGCGCCAGGUUGUGGCCCUGGAGGUUGCGGGUUCAAUCCCCGUUGCUCACCCCA